CAUGGCGCAGCUACACAUGCAGUCGAGCGGCAGCACAGCAGUAGCAAUACUGUGGGUGGCGAGCGGCGGACGGGUGAGGAAUACAUCGGAAUCUACCUUCUUGUGGGGGGUAACGUAGGGAAACUUACGCUAAUACCGCAUAAGACCUGAGGGUGAAAGCGGGGGACCGCAAGGCCUCGCGCGAGAAGAUGAGCCGAUGUCCGAUUAGCUAGUUGGUGAGGUAAAGGCUCACCAAGGCGACGAUCGGUAGCUGGUCUGAGAGGAUGAUCAGCCACACUGGAACUGAGACACGGUCCAGACUCCUACGGGAGGCAGCAGUGGGGAAUAUUGGACAAUGGGCGCAAGCCUGAUCCAGCCAUGCCGCGUGUGUGAAGAAGGCCUUCGGGUUGUAAACUGCUUUUGUACGGAACGAAACGGUCUGGGUUAAUACCUCGGGCUAAUGACGGUACCGUAAGAAUAAGCACCGGCUAACUACGUGCCAGCAGCCGCGGUAAUACGUAGGGUGCAAGCGUUAAUCGGAAUUACUGGGCGUAAAGCGUGCGUAGGCGGUUUGUUAAGUCAGAUGUGAAAGCCCCGGGCUUAACCUGGGAACUGCAUUUGAAACUGGCGGACUUGAGUCGAGUAGAGGGGAGUGGAAUUUCAGGUGUAGCGGUGAAAUGCGUAGAUAUCUGAAGGAACACCAGUGGCGAAGGCGACUCCCUGGACUCAAACUGACGCUGAGGUACGAAAGCGUGGGUAGCAAACAGGAUUAGAUACCCUGGUAGUCCACGCUGUAAACGAUGUCAACUAGCCGUUGGUCC
rnacentral:rRNA from 1 species